UGCUGAGGAGCAGAAAGGAGGUAGAACAUGAGAAACAAGAAGGAGGUAGAACAUGAGGAACAGGAAGGAGGUAGAACAUGAGGAAUAAGAAGGAGGUAGAACAUGAAGAAGGCGGUAGAACAUGAGGAAGGAGGUAGAACAUGAGGAAUAAGAAGGAGGUAGAACAUGAGGAAGGAGGUAGAACAUGAGGAAUAAGAAGGAGGUAGAACAUGAGGAAUAAGAAGGAGGUAGAACAUGAGGAAUAAGAAGGAGGUAGAACAUGAGGAAGGAGGUAGAACAUGAGGAAUAAGAAGGAGGUAGAACAUGAGGAAGGAGGUAGAACAUGAGGAAUAAGAAGGAGGUAGAACAUGAGGAAUAAGAAGGAGGUAGAACAUGAGGAAUAAGAAGGAGGUAGAACAUGAGGAACAGGAAGGAGGUAGAACAUGAGGAAGGAGGUAGAACAUGAGGAAUAAGAAGGAGGUAGAACAUGAGAAACAAGAAGGAGGUAGAACAUGAGGAAGGAGGUAGAACAUGAGGAAGGAGGUAGAACAUGAGGAAUAAGAAGGAGGUAGAACAUGAGGAAUAAGAAGGAGGUAGAACAUGAGGAAUAAGAAGGAGGUAGAACAUGAGGAACAGGAAGGAGGUAGAACAUGAGGAAGGAGGUAGAACAUGAGGAAUAAGAAGGAGGUAGAACAUGAGAAACAAGAAGGAGGUAGAACAUGAGGAAGGAGGUAGAACAUGAGGAAGGAGGUAGAACAUGAGGAAUAAGAAGGAGGUAGAACAUGAGAAACAAGAAGGAGGUAGAACAUGAGGAAUAAGAAGGAGGUAGAACAUGAGGAACAGGAAGGAGGUAGAACAUGAGGAACAGGAAGGAGGUAGAACAUGAGGAAUAAGAAGGAGGUAGAACAUGAGGAAUAAGAAGGAGGUAGAACAUGAGGAAGGAGGUAGAACAUGAGGAAGGAGGUAGAACAUGAGGAAUAAGAAGGAGGUAGAACAUGAGGAAGGAGGUAGAACAUGAGGAAUAAGAAGGAGGUAGAACAUGAGGAAUAAGAAGGAGGUAGAACAUGAGGAAUAAGAAGGAGGUAGAACAUGAGGAACAGGAAGGAGGUAGAACAUGAGGAAGGAGGUAGAACAUGAGGAAUAAGAAGGAGGUAGAACAUGAGAAACAAGAAGGAGGUAGAACAUGAGGAAGGAGGUAGAACAUGAGGAAGGAGGUAGAACAUGAGGAAUAAGAAGGAGGUAGAACAUGAGAAACAAGAAGGAGGUAGAACAUGAGGAAUAAGAAGGAGGUAGAACAUGAGGAACAGGAAGGAGGUAGAACAUGAGGAACAGGAAGGAGGUAGAACAUGAGGAAUAAGAAGGAGGUAGAACAUGAGGAAUAAGAAGGAGGUAGAACAUGAGGAAUAAGAAGGAGGUAGAACAUGAGGAACAGGAAGGAGGUAGAACAUGAAGAAGGAGGUAGAACAUGAAGAAGGAGGUAGAACAUGAGGAAGGAGGUAGAACAUGAGGAAGGAGGUAGAACAUGAGAAACAAGAAGGAGGUAGAACAUGAGGAAUAAGAAGGAGGUAGAACAUGAGAAACAAGAAGGAGGUAGAACAUGAGGAAUAAGAAGGAGGUAGAACAUGAGGAACAGGAAGGAGGUAGAACAUGAGGAACAGGAAGGAGGUAGAACAUGAGGAAUAAGAAGGAGGUAGAGCAUGAAGAAGGAGGUAGAACAUGAGGAACAGGAAGGAGGUAGAACAUGAGGAAUAAGAAGGAGGUAGAGCAUGAAGAAGGAGGUAGAACAUGAGGAAGGAGGUAGAACAUGAGGAACAAGAAGGAGGUAGAACAUGAGGAACAAGAAGGAGGUAGAACAUGAGGAAUAAGAAGGAGGUAGAACAUGAAGAAGGAGGUAGAACAUGAGGAAUAAGAAGGAGGUAGAACAUGAGGAACAGGAAGGAGGUAGAACAUGAGGAAUAAGAAGGAGGUAGAGCAUGAAGAAGGAGGUAGAACAUGAGGAAGGAGGUAGAACAUGAGGAACAAGAAGGAGGUAGAACAUGAGGAACAAGAAGGAGGUAGAACAUGAGGAAUAAGAAGGAGGUAGAACAUGAAGAAGGAGGUAGAACAUGAGGAAUAAGAAGGAGGUAGAACAUGAGGAACAGGAAGGAGGUAGAACAUGAGGAAUAAGAAGGAGGUAGAGCAUGAAGAAGGAGGUAGAACAUGAGGAACAAGAAGGAGGUAGAACAUGAGGAACAGGAAGGAGGUAGAACAUGAAGAAGGAGGUAGAACAUGAAGAAGGAGGUAGAACAUGAAGAAGGAGGUAGAACAUGAGGAACAAGAAGGAGGUAGAACAUGAGGAAGGAGGUAGAACAUGAGGAACAAGAAGGAGGUAGAACAUGAGGAACAAGAAGGAGGUAGAACAUGAGGAACAGGAAGGAGGUAGAACAUGAAGAAGGAGGUAGAACAUGAAGAAGGAGGUAGAACAUGAGGAACAAGAAGGAGGUAGAACAUGAGAAACAAGAAGGAGGUAGAACAUGAGGAAUAAGAAGGAGGUAGAACAUGAGGAACAGGAAGGAGGUAGAACAUGAGGAACAAGAAGGAGGUAGAACAUGAGGAACAGGAAGGAGGUAGAACAUGAAGAAGGAGGUAGAACAUGAGGAACAGGAAGGAGGUAGAACAUGAGGAACAAGAAGGAGGUAGAACAUGAGGAACAGGAAGGAGGUAGAACAUGAGGAACAAGAAGGAGGUAGAACAUGAGGAACAGGAAGGAGGUAGAACAUGAAGAAGGAGGUAGAACAUGAGGAAGGAGGUAGAACAUGAAGAAGGAGGUAGAACAUGAGGAAGGAGGUAGAACAUGAGGAAUAAGAAGGAGGUAGAACAUGAGGAACAGGAAGGAGGUAGAACAUGAGGAACAAGACGACAUGGUCAUCAAUAUCCCCCCCACAUGUGAUGUCUAUGAGUCUAUAUCCAAAAUAGUGAUCAAGGGCCAUAACUCUGUUAAAUAUUAUCACACAGGUCUCAUUUUCGAACUUGAUCAAGGUGUCCAUGGUGUGAAGCUACACACUAAAUUGUCAGCUGUAAAAUUAAACGUUCACUCACAUCCUGUGCAUCCCCUGGGGGCUAAGCCCCCCCCUGUCCUGAAAACCUAGUGCCGCCCCUGCAGCAGUUUACAGCUUGUCAGCUGCAGUCGCGUUCUGUCGCUAAUUACGGGCUAACUGUGAAUGCUGGCUCAAAAGUAACCGGAUGGUGAGUGGCAGGAUGAGUCACGGAAGAGGUCGGUAUGUUUAAUGUUGCUGUCGAGUGAAAAAUGACCGAGAAACGGCAGUUUUAAAAUCGCUGUGUGAGAAGCAGCACAAGGCCUAAAUUUGCAUUGAGCCUUAUGGAGGGCGAUUCAGGUUCCCACGUCAAUUAAGGGCUGGCGCGUGACGUAACAAUGUGCCAGAUGAACAAUGUCGGACUUAUAUGAAUGUAGAGAGUCUUUACUAUAGUCUGUGAAAGGAUUGUUCUUGUAGUAUGUACCGUUUGGCCAGGAUGGCGAUUUAAGGCAAUAAAAACGGACAGAUUUUGUCCCUCUCCACACUCUAGCACCAGAGGAGCACAUGCUCUAACAUGGGAUUUUUUGCUCAACCUAGGGGUUUUUGGAGGCUCCUGUAUGGAAAACCAUAAAUCCCACCAUCACAAUAUGUACAUGCCUGAAAAGAAGAGAGUUGGGGCUUUUUUUAAGACUAAAAUGAAGUCUGUAGGUGAAAGUAUGGCGAAGCAGUAGCGUUUGGAAAACAGUGCAUGACAUGGUCAUCAAUAUCCCCCGCCACGUGAUGUGUAUGAGUCUAUAUCCAAAAUAGUGAUAAAGGGCCAUAACUCUGUUAAAUAUUAUCGCACAGGUCUCAUUUUCGAACUUGAUCAAGGUGUCCAUGGUGUGAAGCUACACACUAAAUUUCGUAAUCCUAACUGUAAUAGUCUCCGAGAAAAGCUGUCCCCUUCAUCUCGGAUGGAUGCACAGACGGACGGAGGCCAAACCUAUGUCCCCCUUUUCCACUUCGUGGAGGCGGGGGAUAAUAAGAAGGAGGUAGAGCAUGAGGAAAAAGAAGGAGGUAGAACAUGAAGAACAAGAAGGAGGUAGAACAUGAAG